rnacentral:tRNA from 1 species
GCCUUGAUGGUGAAAUGGACAUCAUGUCCCGCUUCGAACGGGGCGUUCCAGGUUCGAGUCCUGGUCGAGGCA